GUAGGGAAUAUUGGGCAAUGGAGGCAACUCUGACCCAGCCAUGCCGCGUGUGUGAAGAAGGUCUUCGGAUUGUAAAGCACUUUAAGUUGGGAGGAAGGGCAGUAAGUUAAUACCUUGCUGUUUUGACGUUACCGACAGAAUAAGCACCGGCUAACUUCGUGCCAGCAGCCGCGGUAAUACGAAGGGUGCAAGCGUUAAUCGGAAUUACUGGGCGUAAAGCGCGCGUAGGUGGUUUUGUAAGUUGGAGGUGAAAUCCCCGGGCUCAACCUGAGAACUGCCUCCAAAACUGCAUGACUAGAGUACGGUAGAGGGUAGUGGAAUUUCCUGUGUAGCGGUGAAAUGCGUAGAUAUAGGAAGGAACACCAGUGGCGAAGGCGACUACCUGGACUGAUACUGACACUAAGGUGCGAAAGCGUGGGGAGCAAACAGGAUUAGAAACCCCAGUAGUCC
rnacentral:rRNA from 1 species